UGGGAAUUUUGGACAAUUGGGCGAAAGCCUGAUCCAGCAAUGCCGCGUGUGUGAAGAAGGCCUUCGGGUUGUAAAGCACUUUUGUCCGGAAAGAAAUCCUUGGCUCUAAUACAGUCGGGGGAUGACGGUACCGGAAGAAUAAGCACCGGCUAACUACGUGCCAGCAGCCGCGGUAAUACGUAGGGUGCAAGCGUUAAUCGGAAUUACUGGGCGUAAAGCGUGCGCAGGCGGUUUGCUAAGACCGAUGUGAAAUCCCCGGGCUCAACCUGGGAACUGCAUGGUGACUGGCAGGGCUAGAGUAUGGCAGAGGGGGGUAGAAUUCCACGUGUAGCAGUGAAAUGCGUAGAGAUGUGGAGGAAUACCGAUGGCGAAGGCAGCCCCCUGGGCCAAGUACUGACGCUCAUGCACGAAAGCGUGGGGAGCAAAACAGGAUUUAGAUACCCCUGGUAGUCCACGCCCUAAANGAUGUCAACUAGUUGUUGGGGAUUCAUUUCCUUAGUAACAUAGCUAACGCGUGAAGUU
rnacentral:rRNA from 1 species